UAAGGAUUAUUGCUCAAUGGGAGAAAUCCUGAAGCAGCAACGCCGCGUGGAGGAUGAAGGGUCUAUGACUUGUAAACUCCUGUAAAGAAGGAAAAAAUUCCCAUUUGAUGGGAGAUGAUGGUACUUCUGGAGUAAGCCCCGGCUAACUACGUGCCAGCAGCCGCGGUAAUACGUAGGGGGCGAGCGUUGUCCGGAAUUACUGGGCGUAAAGGGUGCGUAGGCGGCCGAUUAAGUUGGAUGUGAAAUACCCGUGCUCAACAUGGGGGGUGCAUUCAAAACUGGUUGGCUAGAGUACAGGAGAGGGAAGCGGAAUUCCUUGUGUAGCGGUGAAAUGCGUAGAUAUUGGGAGGAACACCAGUGGCGAAGGCGGCUUUCUGGACUGACACUGACGCUGAGGCACGAAAGCGUGGGGAGCAAACA
rnacentral:rRNA from 1 species